AGGACGAACGCUGGCGGCGUGCUUAACACAUGCAAGUCGAGCGGAAAGGCCCUUCGGGGUACUCGAGCGGCGAACGGGUGAGUAACACGUGAGCAACCUGCCCUUAGCUCUGGGAUAGCUCCGGGAAACCGGAAUUAAUACCGGAUACGACCUAGGCCGACAUCGGCCAUGGUGGAAAGUUUUUCGGCUAGGGAUGGACUCGCGGCCUAUCAGCUAGUUGGUGGGGUAAAGGCCUACCAAGGCGACGACGGGUAGCCGGCCUGAGAGGGCGACCGGCCACACUGGGACUGAGACACGGCCCAGACUCCUACGGGAGGCAGCAGUGGGAAUCUUGCGCAAUGGGCGAAAGCCUGACGCAGCGACGCCGCGUGGGGGAUGAAGGCCUUCGGGUUGUAAACCCCUUUCAGCAGGGACGAAGCGAAAGUGACGGUACCUGCAGAAGAAGCGCCGGCUAACUACGCGCCAGCAGCCGC
rnacentral:rRNA from 1 species